GUAUAAUAUUAUAGGUGUUCCAAAAGAUUACAGUCAGUUGGAAACAUUGAAUUGAUUCAUAAUAGUUUUUCAAGGCUUUGGAUUGUUUGCAUUUUUAAGUUUGUAUCAGACAUUGCAAUUGUUAAAGAUAAAUUAGGUAGUAAUAGUGCCAGAGGCUGAAAGGUAAUUAGGCCACACAGUACAUCUCGUGUCCACAUCCCAUGCAAUUUUUGCAGAAUGCUGAACUAUGUAAACUGCUAUUAUAAAACUGGCAAUUAUUGCACCACAUUUUCCAUAAAAUCCACCCAAGUAAAUAUUGUAGGCUCUCAUCUUUGCAGAUGAGCAUCUUGCCUUUGAGAAGAUACAG